AUGUAUUUCUUUAGUGAUGAAGCUUUAUUGUUUUUCUCUAUCCAUAACUUGAGUUUUGCUCUGAUUCAGCAUACCAGAUUUGGGAGUAACUUUGUUUUCCAAGAUAAGGAAUUUUGGACAACUUGGCUGGUAUUAUUUGUUUUGCUAAUCUGUUUCUUGGGUUGUAGGCCCAAUAGCUCCUUUGGUAUUAGGUGGAAGCUUAAUCGGUCAUGUUUCAUAUUGGGGUGUAGGCCCAAUAGCUCUUUUGGUAUUAGGUGGAAGCUUAAUCGGUCAUGUUUCAUAUUGGGUACUAAGAAAGACUCAUCACAUUUCAGUGUUUGCUACUCUGCAUUUUGA